rnacentral:rRNA from 1 species
GUGUCAGCCGCCGCGGUAAUACAGAGGGUGCAAGCGUUAAUCGGAAUUACUGGGCGUAAAGCGUGCGUAGGUGGUUUGUUAAGUCAGGUGUGAAAUCCUCGGGCUCAACCCGGGAACUGCGCUUGAUACUGACAGACUCGAGUGUGGUAGAGGAUAGUGGAAUUCCCGGUGUAGCGGUGAAAUGCGUAGAUAUCGGGAGGAACAUCAGUGGCGAAGGCGGCUAUCUGGACCAACACUGACACUGAGGUACGAAAGCGUGGGUAGCAAACAGGAUUAGAAACCCUUGUAGUCC